rnacentral:rRNA from 1 species
GACGAACCGUCCAAACGUUAUUCGGAAUCACUGGGCUUAAAGAGUCCGUAGGCGGCCAAUUAGGUGAGGUGUGAAAUCCCCCGGCUUAACCGAGGAAUUGCGCUUCAAACCGACUGGCUAGAGGAAGAUAGAGGAAAGCGGAACUGAUGGUGGAGCGGUGAAAUGCGUUGAUAUCAUCAGGAACACCGGUGGCGAAAGCGGCUUUCUGGGUCUUUUCUGACGCUGAGGGACGAAAGCUAGGGGAGCGAACGGG